UAGGGAAUCUUCCGCAAUGGACGCAAGUCUGACGGAGCAACGCCGCGUGAGUGAAGAAGGAUUUCGGUUCGUAAAACUCUGUUGUUAGAGAAGAACAGCGCAUAGAGUAACUGUUAUGCGUGUGACGGUAUCUAACCAGAAAGCCACGGCUAACUACGUGCCAGCAGCCGCGGUAAUACGUAGGUGGCAAGCGUUGUCCGGAUUUAUUGGGCGUAAAGCGAGCGCAGGCGGUCAAUUAAGUCUGAUGUGAAAGCCCCCGGCUCAACCGGGGAGGGUCAUUGGAAACUGGUUGACUGGAGUGCAGAAGAGGAGAGUGGAAUUCCAUGUGUAGCGGUGAAAUGCGUAGAUAUAUGGAGGAACACCAGUGGCGAAGGCGACUCUCUGGUCUGUAACUGACGCUGAGGUUCGAAAGCGUGGGUAGCAAACAGG
rnacentral:rRNA from 1 species